AACAUCUGGUUGAAUGAGGAAAUGCAAGCUAAAUUAGCUGACUUUGGUAUCUCAGCUUUUGAACCUCGAGCUCUUGAUUCUUAUCCAACUUGUCCUCUGGGCACUCGAGGCUACUUCGACCCAGAGUUUUAUCCAUAUUCAAGGCCAGACACGAAAAGUGACGUUUAUGGUUUCAGAAUCAUACUCUUUGAGCUAAUUACAGGACAUCCAGCAGUAACUAGAGGCGCAGUGCGCAACGUGUUUUUACUCCAGUGGAUGACUCCUAUCGUUGAAACUAAAGAAUACAGAUGAUUAUGGAUCCAAGUUUACAAGGAAAGUUCGACAUUGACUCGGCUUGGAAAGCGAUAGAGAUUGCAAAGUCUUGUACACGGCCAACUGGAGUAGAAAGGCCGGACAUAACUCAUGUACUGGCGUUACUGAGGCAAUCUUUAGCACUAGAAUUGGCAUCUCAGUGCUGCCACUCCGAGGUAGUUAACUAACUAGAAAAUGUCAACUUUAGGUGCAAAAAUAUCUGCAGCAAUUUUGUGCUGAACUCAAGUGGUGGCUUAUGUUUUAGAGUUCAUACUUGUAUUUAAAUUUGGAUUUCCGUAAGCUAUCCUUGUCUUUGUGAUUGAUCGUGUUGAGUGGGGUUCUCAAUAGAACCCGAGCAAUAUUCCCUACUUUUCAAA